ensembl:processed_transcript
GCAGACCGUUUUACACACAGAUGCUGCAGAUGACAGCUCACUAACAGUGUUUUAAAAACAACAAACAGCACGUUUCCCAGCUUAUCGACACAUAAUAAGGACGCACUAUGUGAUAAAGAGUGUCUGGAGUGUCAAACGACUCACCUAAUAAGGCAUUUGUUUGGACCUUACAGUCAUCAGGCGCAAAGCUUUGGGACUUUUGGACUACAUUUACUGGUGUGAUAGACAUCUGCUGUGGACAGAGAAUAAGGGAUGUGUUUGGACUGUACAGCCAACAGAAACAGAGCUCCAGGACGUUUGGACAGCCGUUUGGACAUCUGCUGAUGCUCAGUUUAAAUUGAAAUACAUGCGCUGAAAAAGCCAAUAAAGCACCCAAGGUGGACCUGGGCUGAUUCUCCACACAUUAACAUCACCACAUAGGGCACGCUGUCAAGGGGAAAGAAGGGGUCCGAGGACAGAAGAGAGUCACUAAGCCCAGGUAGGAGUCAUCCCUCAAGGCCGCUGGCACAUUUAAACUACAGCAAGCCCUUAAGCUUCAGAUCGGGAUUUCUUUCUGCCCUCCCAGUUGUGCAAUAACUAAACUUGGACACGCAAGGUCAGGGAGAAGGAUGGAGGAUGCAGUGAAGUGGAACUCAUAGGCAGCCACCCCUUCUCUACACAGCAGAGCUGGAUGGCCACCCACUCUACUGCAUCAUGG